CAGUAGCCGCGGGAAUACGAAGGGUGCAAGCGUUACUCGGUAUUACUGGGCGUAAAGCGUGCGUAGGUGGUGGUUUAAGUCCGUUGUGAAAGCCCUGGGCUCAACCUGGGAAUUGCAGUGGAUACUGGGUCACUAGAGUGUGGUAGAGGAUAGUGGAAUUUCCGGUGUAGCAGUGAAAUGCGUAGAGAUCGGAAGGAACAUCUGUGGCGAAGGCGACUAUCUGGGCCAACACUGACACUGAGGCACGAAAGCGUGGGGAGCAAACAGGAUUAGAUACCCCGGUAGUCCCUGUCUCUUAUAC
rnacentral:rRNA from 1 species